UACGAAGGGGGCAAGCGUUGUUCGGAAUCACUGGGCGUAAAGGGCGCGUAGGCGGACAUUUAAGUCAGGGGUGAAAUCCCGGGGCUCAACCCCGGAACUGCCCUUGAUACUGGGGUGUCUUGAGACCGGAAGAGGUAAGUGGAACUGCGAGUGUAGAGGUGAAAUUCGUAGAUAUUCGCAAGAACACCAGUGGCGAAGGCGGCUUACUGGUCCGGAUCUGACGCUGAGGCGCGAAAGCGUGGGGGCAACAGG
rnacentral:rRNA from 1 species